GACGAACGCUGGCGGCGUGCUUAACACAUGCAAGUCGAACGGUAAGGCCCUUCGGGGUACACGAGUGGCGAACGGGUGAGUAACACGUGGGUGAUCUGCCCUGCACUUCGGGAUAAGCCUGGGAAACUGGGUCUAAUACCGGAUAGGACUCCUGCCUGCAUGGGUGGGGGUGGAAAGCUUUCGCGGUGUGGGAUGGGCCCGCGGCCUAUCAGCUUGUUGGUGGGGUGAUGGCCUACCAAGGCGACGACGGGUAGCCGGCCUGAGAGGGUGACCGGCCACACUGGGACUGAGAUACGGCCCAGACUCCUACGGGAGGCAGCAGAGGGGAAUAUUGCACAAUGGGCGCAAGCCUGAUGCAGCGACGCCGCGUGAGGGAUGACGGCCUUCGGGUUGUAAACUUCUUUCAGCACAGACGAAGCGCAAGUGACGGUAUGUGCAGAAGAAGGACCGGCCAACUACGUGCCAGCCGCCGCAGUAA
rnacentral:rRNA from 1 species